rnacentral:rRNA from 1 species
GUGGAUUAGAUACCCUGGUAGUCCACGCCGUAAACGAUGGAUACUAGCUGUUCGGGUUUACCUGAGUGGCUAAGCGAAAGUGAUAAGUAUCCCACCUGGGGAGUACGGGCGCAAGCCUGAAACUCAAAGGAAUUGACGGGGGCCCGCACAAGCGGUGGAGCAUGUGGUUUAAUUCGAUGAUACGCGAGGAACCUUACCAGGGCUUAAAUGUAAGUUGCAUUAGGUGGAGACACUUAUUUCUUCGGACUACUUACAAGGUGCUGCACGGUUGUCGCCAGCU